UACGUAGGGGGCAAGCGUUGUCCGGAAUUAUUGGGCGUAAAGAGCGUGUAGGCGGUCCGGUAAGUCGGUUGUGAAAGUCCAGGGCUCAACCCUGGGAUGCCGAUCGAUACUGCCGGACUAGAGUCCGGAAGAGGCGAGUGGAAUUCCCGGUGUAGCGGUGAAAUGCGCAGAUAUCAGGAGGAACACCGGUGGCGAAGGCGGGUCUCUGGGCCGAUACUGACGCUGAGGAGCGAAAGCGUGGGGAGCGAACAGG
rnacentral:rRNA from 1 species